UACGUAGGGCGCAAGCGUUGUCCGGAAUUAUUGGGCGUAAAGAGCUCGUAGGCGGCCAGUUGCGUCCGCUGUGAAAUCCCAGGGCUUAACCCUGGGCGUGCAGUGGAUACGGGCUGGCUGGAGGCAGGCAGGGGAGAACGGAAUUCCCGGUGUAGCGGUGAAAUGCGUAGAUAUCUGGAGGAACACCGGUGGCGAAGGCGGCAUCCUGGACCAACACUGACGCUGAGUGAGCGAAAGCCAGGGGAGCAAACGGG
rnacentral:rRNA from 1 species